GACAGGUUUAUAUAACGACACCCCAGCACAUAUGGCUUAAUAAGGAAGGACAGGUUUAUAUAACGACACCCCAGCACAUAUGGCUUAAUAAGGAAGGACAGGUUUAUAUAAAGACACCCCAGCACAUAUGGCUUAAUAAGGAAGGACAGGUUUAUAUAACGACACCCCAGCACAUAUGGCUUAAUAAGGAAGGACAGGUUUAUAUAACGACACCCCAGCACAUAUGGCUUAAUAAGGAAGGACAGGUUUAUAUAACGACACCCCAGCACAUAUGGCUUAAUAAGGAAGGACAGGUUUAUAUAACGACACCCCAGCACAUAUGGCUUAAUAAGGAAGGACAGGUUUAUAUAACGACACCCCAGCACAUAUGGCUUAAUAAGGAAGGACAGGUUUAUAUAACGACACCCCAGCACAUAUGGCUUAAUAAGGAAGGACAGGUUUAUAUAACGACACCCCAGCACAUAUGGCUUAAUAAGGAAGGACAGGUUUAUAUAACGACACCCCAGCACAUAUGGCAUAAUAAGGAAGGACAGGUUUAUAUAACGACACCCCAGCACAUAUGGCUUAAUAAGGAAGGACAGGUUUAUAUAACGACACCCCAGCACAUAUGGCUUAAUAAGGAAGGACAGGUUUAUAUAACGACACCCCAGCACAUAUGGCUUAAUAAGGAAGGACAGGUUUAUAUAAAGACACCCCAGCACAUAUGGCAUAAUAAGGAAGGACAGGUUUAUAUAACGACACCCCAGCACAUAUGGCAUAAUAUGGAAGGACAGGUUUAUAUAACGACACCCCAGCACAUAUGGCUUAAUAAGGAAGGACAGGUUUAUAUAACGACACCCCAGCACAUAUGGCUUAA
rnacentral:lncRNA from 1 species